GCCUGGGUGGCUCAGUCUGUUGGGCGACCGACUUCGGCUCAGGUCAUGAUCUCAUGGUUUGUGAGUUCGAGCCCCGCCUCAGGCU
rnacentral:tRNA from 1 species